ACGAACGCUGGCGGCGUGCCUAAUACAUGCCAGUUGAGCGCUGAAGGUUGGUACUUGUACCAACUGGAUGAGCAGCGAACGGGUGAGUAACGCGUGGGGAAUCUGCCUUUGAGCGGGGGACAACAUUUGGAAACGAAUGCUAAUACCGCAUAAAAACUUUAAACACAAGUUUUCAGUUUGAAAGAUGCAAUUGCAUCACUCAAAGAUGAUCCCGCGUUGUAUUAGCUAGUUGGUGAGGUAAAGGCUCACCAAGGCGAUGAUACAUAGCCGACCUGAGAGGGUGGUCGGCCACAUUGGGACUGAGACACGGCCCAAACUCCUACGGGAGGCAGCAGUAGGGAAUCUUCGGCAAUGGACGAAAGUCUGACCGAGCAACGCCGCGUGAGGGAAGAAGGUUUUCGGAUCGUAAAACUCUGUUGGUAGAGAAGAACGUUGGUGAGAGUGGAAAGCUCAUCAAGUGACGGUAACUACCCAGAAAGGGACGGCUAACUACGUG
rnacentral:rRNA from 1 species